rnacentral:rRNA from 1 species
CACGUAGGGGGCAAGCGUUGUCCGGAUUUAUUGGGCGUAAAGAGCUCGUAGGCGGCUCAGUAAGUCGGGUGUGAAACCUCCAGGCUCAACCUGGAGACGCCACCUGAUACUGCUGUGGCUAGAGUCCGGUAGGGGAGCGUGGAAUUCCUGGUGUAGCGGUGAAAUGCGCAGAUAUCAGGAGGAACACCGGUGGCGAAGGCGGGACUCUGGGCCGAUACUGACGCUGAGGAGCGAAAGCGUGGGGAGCAAACAGG